rnacentral:rRNA from 1 species
UUAGCAUGGAAUAAUGGAAUAGGACGUGUGGUUCUAUUUUGUUGGUUUCUAGGACCGCCGUAAUGAUUAAUAGGGAUAGUCGGGGGCAUCAGUAUUCAAUUGUCAGAGGUGAAAUUCUUGGAUUUAUUGAAGACUAACUACUGCGAAAGCAUUUGCCAAGGAUGUUUUCAUUAAUCAGUGAACGAAAGUUAGGGGAUCGAAGACGAUCAGAUACCGUCGUAGUCUUAACCAUAAACUAUGCCGACUAGGGAUCGGGCGAUGUUAUCUUUUUGACUCGCUCGGCACCUUACGAGAAAUCAAAGUUUUUGGGUUCUGGGGGGAGUAUGGUCGCAAGGCUGAAACUUAAAGAAAUUGACGGAAGGGCACCACCAGGAGUGGAGCUGCU